AGCGAACGCUGGCGGCAGGCCUAACACAUGCAAGUCGAACGAAGUCUUCGGACUUAGUGGCGGACGGGUGAGUAACACGUGGGAACGUACCUUUUGGUUCGGAACAACUCAGGGAAACUUGAGCUAAUACCGGAUGAGCCCUUAGGGGGAAAGAUUUAUCGCCGAAAGAGCGGCCCGCGUUAGAUUAGCUAGUUGGUGAGGUAAAGGCUCACCAAGGCUACUAUCUAUAGCUGGUCUGAGAGGAUGAUCAGCCACACUGGGACUGAGACACGGCCCAGACUCCCACGGGAGGCAGCAGUGGGGAAUCUUGCGCAAUGGGCGAAAGCCUGACGCAGCCAUGCCGCGUGAAUGAUGAAGGUCUUAGGAUUGUAAAAUUCUUUUACCAGGGACGAUAAUGACGGUACCUGGAGAAAAAGCCCCGGCUAACUUCGUGCCAGCCGCCGCAGUAAGAC
rnacentral:rRNA from 1 species